rnacentral:lncRNA from 1 species
GUGUAAUGCAAUCGGGUGGUGAAGCGCCUGCAGAGAAGAUAGUAGCUUCAUCUUUCGCUGCUGGAAAAGUUGUGAUCGUCAUAUGUGAUAGUGACAGCGAUGGUGAAACACAUAUUCCUGACACUUUGUCUGGGCAGACAAAGAGGAGGAAAAUAAGCACAUCUGCUGCACCAUCUCGCUGUCGUUCAUUGCCCAGCAGCAGAGUUGAAGAAAGAGCCGGUGCUCUUCAAAAGUCUCGUACCGUAGAUCGUAUUGAUUCUACAGAUUCGGAUGAUUCAAUCUCAGCUGGCUAUACGAACAAUCUCACUGCGAC